rnacentral:rRNA from 1 species
AUUGAACGCUGGCGGCAGGCCUAACACAUGCAAGUCGAGCGGAUGAGAAGAGCUUGCUCUUCGAUUCAGCGGCGGACGGGUGAGUAAUGCCUAGGAAUCUGCCUGGUAGUGGGGGACAACGUUUCGAAAGGAACGCUAAUACCGCAUACGUCCUACGGAGAAAGCAGGGGACCUUCGGGCCUUGCGCUAUCAGAUGAGCCUAGGUCGGAUUAGCUAGUUGGUGAGGUAAUGGCUCACCAAGGCUACGAUCCGUAACUGGUCUGAGAGGAUGAUCAGUCACACUGGAACUGAGACACGGUCCAGACUCCUACGGGAGGCAGCAGUGGGGAAUAUUGGACAAUGGGCGAAAGCCUGAUCCAGCCAUGCCGCGUGUGUGAAGAAGGUCUUCGGAUUGUAAAGCUCUUUUGUCAGGGAGAAACGUGAGUUCUAAUACAGCUUGCUAAUGACGGUACCUGAAGAAUAAGCUACCGGCUAACUACGUGCCAG